rnacentral:rRNA from 1 species
GACGAACGCUGGCGGCGUGCUUAACACAUGCAAGUCGAACGGUGAAGCCCUUCGGGGUGGAUCAGUGGCGAACGGGAGCGUAACACGUGAGCAACCUGCCCCUGGCCCUGGGACAACCACUGGAAACGGUGGCUAAUACCGGAUACGACCCGCCUCGGCAUCGGGUGGGGGUGGAAAGUUUUUCGGCUGGGGAUGGGCUCGCGGCCUAUCAGCUUGUUGGUGUGGUGAAGGCUCACCAAGGCGACGACGGGUAGCCGGCCUGAGAGGGCGACCGGCCACACUGGGACUGAGACACGGCCCAGACUCCUACGGGAGGCAGCAGUGGGGAAUAUUGCACAAUGGGCGGAAGCCUGAUGCAGCGACGCCGCGUGAGGGAUGACGGCCUUCGGGUUGUAAACCUCUUUCAGCUCCGAAGAAGCGAGAGUGACGGUAGGAGCAGAAGAAGCACCGGCUAACUACGUG